rnacentral:rRNA from 1 species
UACCGCAUACGCCUGGAGGGAAGCGGGGGAUCGUAAGACCUCGCGUUAAUGGAGCGGCCGAUGCCGGAUUAGCUAGUUGGUGAGGUAAAAGGGCUCACCAAGGCGACGAUCCGUAGCUGGUCUGAGAGGACGACCAGCCACACUGGAACUGAGACACGGUCCAGACUCCUACGGGAGGCAGCAGUGGGGAAUUUUGGACAAUGGGCGCAAGCCUGAUCCAGCCAUUCCGCGUGAGUGAAGAAGGCCUUCGGGUUGUAAAGCUCUUUCGCAAGGAAAGAAAACUUAUCUCCUAAUACGAGGUGAGGUUGACGGUACCUUGAUAAGAAGCACCGGCUAACUACGUG